CCUACGGGAGGCAGCAGUGGGGGAUAUUGCACAAUGGGGGAAACCCUGAUGCAGCGACGCCGCGUGUGGGAAGACGGUCCUCUGGAUUGUAAACCACUGUCCCCAGGGACGAAGAUGACGGUACCUGGGUAGGAAGCUCCGGCUAACUACGUACCAGCAGCCGCGGUCAUACGUAGGGAGCGAGCGUUGUCCGGUAUUACUGGGUGUAAAGGGAGCGUAGGGGGGACUGCAAUUUGGGGGGCACAUCUCCCGGCUCAACCGGGAGCCGCCCUCACAACUGCAGUUCUUGAGUGAAGUAGAGGCAGGCGGAAUGCCUAGUGUAGCGGUGAAAUGCGUAGAUAUUAGGAGGAACACCAGUGGCGAAGGCGGCCUGCUGGGCUUUGACUGACGCUGAGGCUCGAAAGUGUGGGGAGCAAACAGGAUUAGAUACCCCUGUAGUC
rnacentral:rRNA from 1 species